rnacentral:rRNA from 1 species
UACGUAGGGUGCAAGCGUUAAUCGGAAUUACUGGGCGUAAAGCGUGCGCAGGCGGUUGUGCAAGACAGAUGUGAAAUCCCCGGGCUCAACCUGGGAACUGCAUUUGUGACUGCACGGCUGGAGUGCGGCAGAGGGGGAUGGAAUUCCGCGUGUAGCAGUGAAAUGCGUAGAUAUGCGGAGGAACACCGAUGGCGAAGGCAAUCCCCUGGGCCUGCACUGACGCUCAUGCACGAAAGCGUGGGGAGCAACAGG